rnacentral:rRNA from 1 species
AAGAAGCUUGCUUCUUUGAGACCGGCGCACGGGUGCGUAACGCGUAUGCAAUCUUACCUUUCACAAAGGGAUAGCCCAGAGAAAUUUUGGAUUUAAUACCUUAUAGUAUAUCGAGUUGGCAUCAACAUGAUAUUAAAGAUUUAUCGGUGAAAGAUGAGCAUGCGUCCCCAUUAGCUAGUUGGUAUGGUAACGGCAUACCAAGGCUACGAUGGGUAGGGGUCCCUGAGAGGGAGAUCCCCCCACACUGGUACUGAGACACGGACCAGACUCC